rnacentral:rRNA from 1 species
ACGAAGGGGGCUAGCGUUGUUCGGAAUUACUGGGCGUAAAGCGCACGUAGGCGGAUUUUUAAGUCAGAGGUGAAAUCCCAAGGCUCAACCUUGGAACUGCCUUUGAUACUGGGAAUCUUGAGUUUGGGAGAGGUGAGUGGAACUGCGAGUGUAGAGGUGAAAUUCGUAGAUAUUCGCAAGAACACCAGUGGCGAAGGCGGCUCACUGGCCCCAUACUAACGCUGAGGUGCGAAAGCGUGGGGAGCAAACGGGAUUAGAUACCCUGGUAGUCCACGCCGUAAACGAUGAAUGCCAGCCGUUAGACAGCUUGCUGUUUAGUGGCGCAGCUAACGCUUUAAGCAUUCCGCCUGGGGAGUACGGUCGCAAGAUUA